GGUCCAAGCAAGGCAAUUGCUAUUCAACGGGAGACUGAUUGAAUAGAGGAAAGUCCGAACUCCACAGAACAAGGUGCCGGGUAACACCCGGGAGCUAAGAAACUUCGGUUUCUUAAGUUACGGAAAGUGCCACAGAAAAUACCGCCAAAUUUAGAAAGACGUGAUAGGAUACCGAUGGUAUCUGUUCAUUGAUAGUCUAUUGGUAAGGGUGAAAAGGCAGGGUAAGAGCCUACCGCUUUCUCGGUAACGGGAGAGGUCCCUUUGGGAGUCCUUUUUAUAAGGAUCAAGGUAAACCACACUCCGGAGCAAGGUCAUGUAAGAAGAGCUAUUUUGCUUUUAGCAAGAUACAAAGUGGUUCGCUUUGCUGUCUCUUUGGGUAGAUCGCUUUGAUUGCAUUAGUAAUAAUGUAACAAGAUAAAUAAUUGCCACCUUCUUAAUCGAAGGCAACAGAAUUCGGCUUAUUUGCUUGGACUCACU
rnacentral:RNase_P_RNA from 1 species